ACGCGCCCCCCCCCUCCUUAUUUUUUUUCUCUCACUCUUCUACUCCCACAGCUCCCUUAAAGUGCCGGAAAGUGACAAAAGAGACCCUCAGUAACCUUGUUAAAGAUGUUAUGAUGAAGCACGGGGGAUAAAAAUGACAGCUGCUCCUUGUGUUUUAACCGCACAGACUCAGCAUUUGCUGUUGCAGAAGUCAUAGAAUCAUAGAAAAUCAAGGCUUGGAAAGGACCUCAGGAGGUCAUCUUGUCCAACUGUCUGCUCAAAAAAGGACUAUCCUCAACUAGAUCAUUCCAGCCAGGGCUUUGUCAAGCUGAGCCUUAAAAACCUCUAAGGAUGGAGAUUCCAUCACUUCUCUAGGCUGUUUCAUAAUAAAGAAAGGCAGCAAUUGGGCUAGGGACAGGCAUUCAGAAAGCCUGAGCCUGAAUGGAUUCAAUCUUUGCAGUACAGGAUAAGCUACUCAGUAGAUGCUGGAAACCUAGUUGGAUAAAAUUCAGGGCCCAUUUCUCUAGCUGGCCCUGCAACUGAGAUGUAAAGGAGAAAGCUAGAUUAUGAGCUUGAAGGGGCACAUAAUGCUCUACAAGACUGAGCCAUUAAGUAUUAUGAAAGCAAAGACCAUGGAGCUGUGCCAGCAGUGAAUUUGACUGAAAUGUGGUUGAAUUUUAAACCACCAUGAGAUCCCAAUCAUCGAGGAAGCUCAGUGGUCAGUUAGCAGGUUGGUGGGAUGAAGUGAAGGACCUGAUAUACCACUCAUAAAACCUGUCAGAACAACAUGGAUUAUACUCAGAAGGGAAAAACUAAGCCUAACAUGAAGAAAUCACUGACAUUCAGAAGGUACAAGCCCACUGGGAAUUGCUAGUGUUUAAUAAUUCAUUUAAAAAAGACACACAUUUGAAAUGAUCCAGAACCAUUGAUCAAAUGAUUAAAUUGUUCAUACUGUUGGAA